GCGCACCAGGCGCGAAUCUUCCACAAUGGACGAAAGUCUGAUGGAGCGACGCCGCGUGCGGGAUGAAGGCCUUAUGGGUUGUAACCGCUGUCAGGGGGGAAGAACAUCGGAAUGAACAAUACUCAUUCCGACUGACGUUACCCCCAGAGGAAGCUCCGGCCAACUCCGUGCCAGCAGCCGCGGUAAUACGGGGGGAGCAAGCGUUGUCCGGAAUUAUUGGGCGUAAAGGGCGUGUAGGCGGCGAGGUAAGUCGAAUGU
rnacentral:rRNA from 1 species